UUUGACAUGAAUCUUUCUUAACCAUACGAUCUUACCUUCUCACGAUAUUUUUGAUUUGUUAUUUGAACCGAUCCCUAUAUUUCAAAUUCACACUACACAGAAAGUAAAAGAUGAGUUGGUUGUUGCAGGUUUUACUGCAAGGAAUUCCCCCAAAUGCAACCAUAGAAGACAUUGAGCGCUUCCUGGCUGGAUGCGACUACGAUUCAUCCAAUAUUCGUCUGUUUUUCAGGCAGGGAGCUUCUGGAUCCAUCCGGAUGGCGCUCGUAAAUUUUCUCACCCCAACUGCAGCCAUGAGUGCGAUGAUAACGAAAAACAGAGGCUUUUGUUAUAAUAACCAGAUCUCGAUGCAUGUUCUCCAGUAACUCCAGUUAUCUUCAAGCUCUUGCAAUUCCUUUUGGCUUGCGAAUCCAAAACUAAACUUAUUCGGGUCGCGUGACACUAAAUCCAUAACGUACGAUGUUUUAAUCAGGUUUAAUGCGAAAUCGAUUCGUG